UACGGGGGGAGCAAGCGUUGUUCGGAUUUACUGGGCGUAAAGGGCGCGUAGGCGGCCCUCCUAGUCGCGUGUGAAAGCCCCGGGCUCAACCUGGGAACGGCGCGCGAAACGGGGGGGCUAGGGUCCGGAAGAGGAGAGUGGAAUUCCCGGUGUAGCGGUGAAAUGCGCAGAUAUCGGGAAGAACACCCGUGGCGAAGGCGGCUCUCUGGGACGGUACCGACGCUGAGACGCGAAAGCGUGGGGAGCGAACAGG
rnacentral:rRNA from 1 species